rnacentral:lncRNA from 1 species
GUUAAAGGUUCUUGUAUACUGGUGGUACCAUCUUUGCUGUGCAUCUAUAAAUUGAAAAAUAUAGGUUAAGAAAUCCUUUAUAGAAUGAGCACUUAGAGCGUUGAAUUUAAGUCUCCAUUUUGAACAUAACCAAAACACUUGAGUAAUUUGGCAUUGUAAAAAUAUCUGCUCAUAAGAUUCUUCUUGUAUGUUGCAAAAAGGACAUACAUUAUUCCUUUAGUCUUUAGAGAUUCCU